GACUGUGUGGCAGAACUUUUGAUUAGUUAUCAAAACUAAUGCAAACAUAUUGUUUACCAUUAGUCUCUCAGCAUCUCUCCUAGAAUUUGCCAAUAUCAUGUUGUCAACAAAGGAAGGUUAUAACUAACUGGAAGCCUCAUGAAUUUUAACACACAAUUGACGUAUCUUCAUGAUAUGAGUAGUUGAAUGCUACUGGGGAAGGUAUUUACAGUCCUGGAAGUACCUCGUCAAAAAUGAUGGAUAGCGAUUACAUCUUAUUUCACAAGUGUGUUUAUGACCAAUGCGUAUUAAAUUCAGAUAUCUUAUCCUAAUGAUAGAAUCAGAAACUCAUUUUUCUUUGCGAGUCAGGUUUUUAUACCUCUGCUCGUCAGAAGAGAGAGAUGGAUUGGGCAGAAUAAAGAUGGAGAGCUGCUGUAUUUGAUCUGCUCUCCUUCAAUCCAAGCUAAACUAUAGCAGUGGUGUGAAAGCUGCUUGAGGUUUCAUUCUGAACUUCAGUGAAAAUGGAAGCACUAUCCAGAAUCAUGAAAAGAAAAGGAAGCUAUGAAAAAUAAUGUGACACUUGAUGGUGGUCACGGUGGCGCAGCAGCAGAGUUGCUGCCUUGCAGCGAAUGGAGUGCCGGAGACCUGGGUUCAAUCCCGACUACUGGUGCUGCCUGUACGGAGUUUGUGUGUUUUCUUCGAGAUCUUCGGUUUCCUCCCACACUCCAAAGAAAUACAGGGCAACGUGCAGCACCAGGAGAGAAAAUCUACAUUGCUGAUCAUGAGAAAGGCAAGCAGAAACAAUCAGAAGGAACUGUGGAGCGGAUCGAGAGAACCCAUGGGCCAGAUCAGGGAAAUGCUUGGUACCAAUUGGGAAAAUAUUUGCUGUCAAUGCAUAGGGCUCAUCAAGACGAUCUAUCGAGGCUGCUCAGGAAAAUCCACGGAGCUCAACAGGAGAGUCCUUGAGACUAAGGGGGAGAAUCCAAUGGGCUGAUAAGGAAAACCCAUAGACCUGAGUGAGAUCAUCCAUGGGGUGCGAGGGGGAUCAAUGGGGCCCACUGAUAGUAAUGAUGGAGCCUUUAAGAAGAAACCAUGUGGAUUCCUAUGCACAGUUGCCGCCUGACCUGCUGAAUAUAUCCAGCAGUUUCUGUUUGUAUUUCAGAUUUCUAACAUUUGUAGAAUAUUUUUGCUUUACGUGCUUUUAUGCAGCAACCCUGGCUUACACAUCUUUCAUGCAAAUUCAUAUUACAAAUAUAAGAUCUCCAACAAAUCCAUGUAACUGUGCAGCCUAUAAAAAAAACUGAUUGUUUCCUUUAAAUUAAUUUCAUUAAGAAAUAUCCCUUCACAUGUUCAUGAAUAUCAAUGAAAAUAGGCAGGGAAGAAAUAUUUCAAAUAACAGUGUCCAUUCCACUAAUCCUCCACCAGAGGUAAGUUACCGAAAAUGAAAAAUAAACUAAACUGGACCUUUUGCUCUGCUGUUUUCAUCAAGUUAGUAUUUUUCUUAUGUGUAUAAUAGUCAACCGCUUGUGUGCUUUAAACAAAUAGUACAAAAUGAAGAAAUUCAUAAAUCAGCAGAAUCUUGCAAUGUUGACCUCCAGUGUUACUGAUUUGUGGGCUGGGUCUAACCUGGACAAAUUGAAUCUUAAGCCAACAUAAAAAUGGUGAUAAACAGAAAAAUAAUGCAAAGUAAGCUACUGCACUGGUGGAAAUCUGUAACGAAACCUAAGAAUACCAGAAACACCCUAAAGGUUGAGCAGGAUCUGUGGACGAAGAAAGAGAUAAUAUAUCAAAUUGAUGACCUUUCAUCAAUUUUGAAAUGGGGUUGGAUGUUACUCAAGUGGAUUUGAAAUUUUCCGAUCUUUUGCACUGAACUCUUCCGUGAAUAGCUCCCAGAAUAUACUUUUACAAAUAAGUCAAGAAAGUGGAAACUUGACCUCCUCAUAUGUCACCAAUAUUAUACAAAAGGUAUGAACACAGUACAAUUAAAAUGGAGAAAUCUGCAAUAUAUCUGCAGAGUACUUUUAACAGUCCUUUGCUCAAUGUGAAAGAUCAGUGUACUACAGUAUACAGGUAGUUGCCCUCGUGUUCUCUAUAAUUGAAGCCACAAGCAGGCUCACAGGCUACACCCCAGCAUAACUUAAAAUAAAUUUAAGAAUCAGAAGUGGGAUAAACUGAACUACUCAGUUGUAGUGUAUCAACUGCCGCAUAUGUUGCAUAUCAAUCGCAUGCAACCUAUGGCCUGUGGAACCUUUUUAGCUUACAGUGUCUCAUAAUUUGGCCCAAUGAAAGGUUUCAUUGAGAGGGCAUUAUUGAAUAGGAUUGGGCCUUGUAGGAGUGCAUGCAAUCAGACACAUGACAGGUAACCGGGAGGGUAUGGAUCAAGUGGAAGAUGAUGCGGGAAUGGAUCUCAAUAAGAUAAUUGGUACUGUCAGGCAGAAGGGUGAGAGAGGCAAAUUAUGAGGAUUAGUCUGCUCAUUGACAUGGGGCAGGUUCAGACAGGGUGAUGAUUCAGGGCUGUGAGCAGCAGUGGGGGAUAUCAAGGAUAUCUUCCCUUUUGUGUUCUGGUCUGAAAAUGUCCCUCCGUCCACAAGUCUACGUGGAUAGGAGACUUGUAUACAUCCAAUGUAAGAAAGAACUGCAGAUGCUGGUUUAAAUUGAAGGUAGACACAAAAUGCUGGAGUAACUCAGCGUGACAGGCAACAUCUCUGGAGAGAAGGAAUUAGUGACAUUUCAGGUCGAGACCCUUCUUCAUACUGAUGUCAGGGGAGUGGGCGGGACAAAGAUAGAAUGUAGUCGGAGACAGUAAGACUGGUGGGAGAACUGGGAAGGGGGAAGGGAUAGAGAGGGAAAGCAAGGGCUAUUUGAAGUUAGAGAAAUCAAGAAAGGGGUGGAGAUGGCAAGCUGUGACCAGUAAUGGGAUCAUGUUGGAGGUGGUGAAAAUGUUGGAGGAUUAUAUGCUCUUUACAUCUAGUGUCUCUCAGAACAAGAUCUGAUGAUUAUCUUGAAUUAUGCUUGACUCCUUGUGUCACAGUCUGCCCUCUCCUCAUUCUCAUCCACUUCAGCUCCCAGUACUUUUCCACCGGUCCCUCCUUCUCCUCACCUGCCUGCCUGCCACUCCCCUCUCAUCAGCCCAACUCUCCUCACCUUUUGCACUCAGUUGCCUCUGAUCACCUAUUAACCCGGUAUAUAGACUCUCCUCACCGUUCACACAGUGCCAGAUUGUUCUCAGCAUUCAUGCAAGACUCUCCAGCGAUUACCCGACUGACUACACGGAUUCGAACCUGCUUGCCCCUGACCAUUCCGUCCUGUCGUCUUCCCGGAUAUCACCUCAGCCUUCUGUCCACGGCCUUCGUCCCGUACCUCCUGGUUUCUGUCUGCCUCUCUCCUGGGCUGUUUGGUGUAUCCCUGCAACGGCUCCUCGACUUCCUGCCUGGCUUCGACUCUCCUUUCGCCUGUCCCUCGCUGGUUUGUUUGCAUCGUGUGUUGGAUCUCCUGGUUACCGGACCUUCCGCUACCCCGACUACGUCUCCUGCCUGCCCCUCUUCGGAACCCUCGCUCAAUCCUGAGCCUCUGUGUGAGUACGGUGUACCCAUUCCUGUGUUACUACUCUGUGUUACAGUAUCGUAAUAAAGUUCAUUACCAAUUACACCUGCCUGAUUCUGUGCUGCUAUUGGGUCCAAGCUAUACCCGUUACACCUUGCCUAAUGCAGUUACAAAAAUUUAGUACUCUCAAGAAAUUGGCCAUUUUAACCCACAGAAAUAAAAUUGUAAAGUUGCGAUCAGUUAGAACAUUAACUGUAGUGCACUGACUGUUCUGUACUAAGCCUAAAGUGAUGAGUUUCCCUCAGUUUUACCUGCUAGUCUGUGAGGAUGUGAUCCAAACUCUUUACAGGAUUUUCUCAGAGAAUGUCUGUCUACUUUGAUCUCGUGUUACCUUGAAGUAAAAGUUAAUACUAGCCUACAUUCCUCCUAACUGCUAUUGUAUGUGCACGUGAAUACCGCCACUGACUAUGACAUUUUGUUUUGCAUUUUAAUAAAGAAUAAACACCAACUUGAUCUCUUUAUGCACUGACCUAACACUCUGCAAGUGUUGCACAGUACUCGGUUGUCCUGUAAGCCUUGAGAACAAAGAUCUAGGCUUGUGUUCCGGUUCUGAAAGUUUACAGGAGGUAGUUUUGGGUUCAAAUGUUCAAGUUAUUGUGUGGUACAGCACGGAAAUGACCCUUCGGCCCACCACAUUCAUGCCAGACUUUUUUAUCCAUAUACACGAAUCCCAUUUGGCUGCAUUAGGACCAUACCCUUCUGUGCCAUGUCUAUUUCAGUGUUUAUCUAUAUGCCUCAUCUAUCUA